rnacentral:rRNA from 1 species
AUGAUCAUUGACUAUGCUCACUUCGGUGAUGUUGUUACGUUUGAUACUACAUUUGGGACAAGUACAGAGUACAGACCCUUUGGUGUAUUUGUUGGCUUCAACCAUUUUAGAGAAAUGGUCAUUUUUGGUGCUGCACUUCUAUACAACGAGACAUUUGAAUCCUUCAGAUGGUUGUUCAACACUUUCCUACAUAACAAAAAGCAGCCUAGAACUAUCUUUACUGACCAGGACGUAGCAAUGGGUAAUGCAAUUCGGGCGGUAUUUACAGAAGCAUGGCAUGGAUUGUGCACUUUUCACAUAAUGCAAAAUGCCAUCAAACAUUUACCUCAUAAGAAAAAGACGAGGAUGGCCCAAAUGUACUUGCUGAUUUUAGUGCUUGCAUGUACAAGUACGAGGAAGAGGAAGACUUUGAAGAAGCUUUCACUGCCAUAA